UCCAAGCUCACAGGUGUUCGUACCUACGUAGCUUCAGGUAAUCAAUGUGCAGCACGUAAUGGAUAUUCAAAGGCAAGACUACACGCACAGAGUACGCAGCAAGGACGCGCUACUACUACGGCCAAGACAGAACAGGAGCCGCCGCAUCCAGAAAUGAAGGCGAAUUGAACGCAUUCAUCGAGAGAGAUGAAUGAGCGCGCUGGUGACGCGGUGUGGGGGAACGCGCGCACCUUGAUGAGGAUAUCGCGGGAGUCCUUGGGCAGCCAGCGCGGGUAGAAGGGGUCGUCCGUACGGAUGGACUGGAAGAGCUCCUCCUCGUCGUGCCCGUGGAAGGGAGACUGACCAAUCAGCAUCUCGUACAGCAGCACCCCGAAGGACCACCAGUCCACCGAGGUCCCAUACUUCUGUCCCAGCAGGAUCUGCAACAGAGGUGACCCCCCGUGGAGAGCCCCAGCUCAUCGUAAUCCCCCACAACACCAGCCCCAGUCCCCUGUGUUCCUCUCCGGUGAGCCACAGCCCUUACC